ensembl:lncRNA
AAGGAACAGCAGCGUUUAGGGAGAAGCUGGGGAGGUGGUGGCCAUGGAAACUGCAGUGUGAAGAGGACAAGGGGAGAGCAGAGGCUGGGAAUCGGCCGCAGGGUGGACCAGGUGAAUCUCAGGAUGGACUCUAAGGAUCUGGCAGAAGGCAAACGGAAGAGCUAAAGGAGGGCAAUAUGAAGGGAGACUUGGCCUUCGUGCCCAGGUGGAAUCUGCUAGUUUUCCCCUGGUGCUGGCGACAGCCUGCUGUACAAAGUGGGACACUCUCUCCAGGCUUCAACGCAAGACAUUUCUGGGAGACCUGCAGGGACUGCGCUGGGGCCAUCGGCUAUACAAGCUGGUCCUUGAGGGCAGCAUCUUAGAUCCAGAUGAAGGAUAACAGAAAAGUCCCAUUUGGUUCAAUUCUCUGUCUCUCUGACCUGCACUGGAAAUACCGUUUGAGAGUCUCCCAGUUGAAACCUUCCAUUAUCGGUGAUGGGGAAAAUGGAAAUUACUCUCCCCCCGACUUUUUAAGGGCUUCCCAGGUGGUGCUAGUGGAAAAACACGCCUGCCAAUGCAGGAGACAUAAAAGAUGAGGUUCAAUCCUUGGGUCAGGAAGAUCCCCUGGAAUAGGAAAAGGCAACCUGCUCCAGUAUUCUUGCCUGGAAAGUCCCAUGGACAGAGGAGCCUGGUGGACUACAGUCCAUGGGGUUGCAAAGAGUUGGACACAACUGAGCACACGCAUUUAUUUGGUUGCUCCGGUCUCAGUUGCGGCACACAGGAUCUUCGUUGCAGCUUGGGGAUCUUUAGUUGUGGCAUGUGGGAACUAGUUCCCUGACUGCAUUGAACACGG